CCGCCACAGGCAACGUCUCCCGGAUUUUCCACUUUGGCUUUUACUGCAUUCCUCUUGCACUUUUUGGUCCUGUGGGAACUCCACGCUUGGUUUUGAGGUGUGAGAACUGAGACUCAAAGAGGUCAAGUUACCUGCUCUCCACAUAGUGAGUCGACAGUGGGGCCAUCAACAGAUCUAUGUAGUCCUGGUCACAUUUUAAUUCUGGGUACUCUAUUUUCACUUCGUAUAUAGAACACUACAGCCACACACAGCCUAAGGACAUGUUCAGCAGUGGUCCCUUAAGAUCACAAUGGGCUCUGAAAGUUUCUGUCACCUGAUGAGGUUGCAGCUGUGUAACAGCCUAGUCCUGGAUGUCACUCGGGUAGGACUUCCCUGCCAUCUUGGAUGUUGCUGUUGAACUGUGAAUGGGAACAAACUCCUCCUCCUUAAGUUGCUUCUGUCAGAUUUUGACAUAUCGAUAAGAGUAACUAUGACACCCAC
rnacentral:lncRNA from 1 species